AGCUUUUAAACUUUUUCAAAGGCUGAGAGAAUUGGCAUUGUUCAGCCUGGAGAAGGAAGGUCUUGAGGUGACCUAAUUGCAUCCUUCCAGUACAUGA